UACGUAGGGGGCAAGCGUUGUCCGGAUUCACUGGGCGUAAAGCGUGCGUAGGCGGUGACGCAAGUCCGGAGUGAAAGUCCAGGGCUCAACCCUGGGAUUGCUUUGGAAACUGCGUGACUUGAGUACUGGAGAGGCAAGGGGAAUUCCACGUGUAGCGGUGAAAUGCGUAGAUAUGUGGAGGAAUACCAGUGGCGAAGGCGCCUUGCUGGACAGAAACUGACGCUGAGGCACGAAAGCGUGGGGAGCAAACAGG
rnacentral:rRNA from 1 species